AUAAAAAUCAGAGACGAAGUCUGGGUCGAAAUCAAAGGAAAAAAUGCGCGCGUGGCGCGAUGCCGGCGUUCACGAUAGGGGCGACUAUAGCGAGCCGAAUUCAUUCACAUCACACACAGGGGUCGACGAACCUUCAGCGAACUGAAUUUCGGUUAAUUGAACAGUCACUCGUGCGGCGGGAUUGACCUAGAAAUUAUCGUAUCGUGUCGUAUUGCAUAGUAUGUCUUCUCUUUCGACGAGCGAACGCGCGUACCAGCCAACCGACUUUAUCAAAUCCAACUUCUCACACGACGCCGCCGCCGCCGCCACUGCUGACGGUCCACGAUUUCCAUCGAUCGGACAACGUUCCGGCGGCGUCAAACCGUGUUUUUAUUAUUAAAUACCAACUCGUUGCUCAAUCGUUGCGUCUGCCGUAAUACGAUACGUUCGGUCGAAAUUUUUACGCAACAAAUAAUGAAAUGAUAAAAGUAAUGUCCACGCGCUGUGUUAUGCGUAUACGUGUUUGACGCAUGAAAUGAACUUGAGAAAAUGCCGUGUCACCCCGAUGUCGGCAGACGAUAAUCGUUUGAUAAGCGCGACGCGGGUUCUGGUCGGAUAGAGGCGGGAUACAAAUCGUCUGCUAGAGAUGAAAGAGGCAGUUUGGGUGGUCCUCAAUUGGACGGGUCCGUUUGCAUGUUAGCAAGCAGCCGACUUAAGCCCGUUGUCUGUUAAUUUGUCGUUGAAUUGAGUCAAUCGUUUAAUACGCCACCGUUUACCGUUCGACCGUCGCGUUAUUGUUCGUUGAAAAAAUAAUCGCGACGCGCCAUGUGUGUAUAAAGUUUGCUUGGCGAAAAUCACUGAUCCACCGGCGAUCUGUCAGCGAAUCGCGCGAUAAAUAGUAUUUUAUGUUCAACUGCCGACGUAACUUAUUCCGAUCGUCGAGAAGAGACGUGGCUGCGAAUUUUAUGCGCUUACGAAAGAACUGAAUACGCAGAAAUAAUAAACGUUGCACAUAACGUUUGAAGCUGUUGGAAAUAUCAGAAGCUGCUGAACAUCCGCAGCCUCAUUCAUCAAUUUCACACGGUAUGCCAGGUCCUCGUCUGUAAUGUGUAUAAGAAUUCGAAUUCCGAGGAGCGUCAAAGCACACGUAUACAGGGGACAAGAACGGUUUGGCAUUUGGUGAAGAAACGAGCGAGCGGCCGUCUAACAAGAUAAUUAAGAGUAGACCGUAGGAGUGGCCGGGCUCGGUUUUUUGUUGGUCGCGUGCUGGUGUCAACUCGUGUCGACCAAGAUCUCCCCUUUUCUUCGCGCGACUAGUUGAUACAGUCUGUCGGAACGCGAUAGAAAAACGUCUAGGUUGUAGCGAGAAUGUGAGAAAACGAGCGCGAACACGCGCUGCAAAUAUCAGCCGAUUCGAGCCGGUUAGUUAUUGUUUCCUCGCAGUCCGCGGGUCGAGUCAAGCAGGUCAUCGAUCUCGUUUCGUUUCCUUUUCUUUUUUGUUCCCACGAAACAAAAGACAAAAAGAAGACGAGACGAAAAUUUGAAAACGAUAGGCGAAGAUAUCGCGGAGUUGUCCUUGGGGAUUUUGGCGAACGCAUCGAACGGACAAAAGGAUCGGAUAUAGAGUCGAGUGUCAGAGGUGGGAAGGGGGCUCGCGUGUGCGGCACAGGAAAUGUCAAGAUCACGGCGGCAAUAUCGCAUCUGUCCGAUCGCAUCUAGCCAACGUGCGCAUUCAAGCGACCCCGUCUACGUACCGCCGGCGUAUACUUUUACCCACCUAUCAUCUAUAUCUCCGCGUAAAUUACUCUCUCUGGCUCACGCGCUCACACUCUUAUUCUCACCGCGACCGACCGACCGAUCUUUCUUUUUCUCGCUUAACUCUCGUCGAACACGCGUUUUCGACAUUCGUUUUAAUCGAGGUCACAUCCUUCGAUACGUUGUCGUACUUGCCGAUCAUUACAAUACCCACGAAGAAUUUGAAUCGUCUUCGGGCUGGAAUUUUUAAAGAAUAAAUGUAUCGAGUGAUUAUAGGUGCUCGUACGAUUCCUUGAAA